AGCUGUCACCGGAUGUGCUUUCCGGUCUGAUGAGUCCGUGAGGACGAAACAGCCUCUACAAAUAAUUUUGUUUAA
rnacentral:ncRNA from 71 species